rnacentral:pre_miRNA from 1 species
GACACACUGGAAGGUAUGGGUAGAUGACACACUGGAAGGUAUGUGUAGAUGACACAAUCCAUGGUGUCAUCUACUUAUACCUUCCAUUGUGUCAU